rnacentral:rRNA from 1 species
UAAGGAAUAUUGCUCAAUGGGAGAAAUCCUGAAGCAGCAACGCCGCGUGGAGGAUGAGGGGUCUAUGACUUGUAAACUCCUGUAAAGAAGGAAAAAAUUCCCAUUUGAUGGGAGAUGAUGGUACUUCUGGAGUAAGCCCCGGCUAACUACGUGCCAGCAGCCGCGGUAAUACGUAGGGGGCAAGCGUUGUCCGGAUUUACUGGGUGUAAAGGGUGCUCAGGCGGAUUUGUAAGUCAGAGGUGAAAUCUUACAGCUUAACUGUGAAACUGCCUUUGAUACUGCAAGCCUAGAGUAUGGAAGAGAGUGAUGGAAUAUCUGGUGUAGCAGUGAAAUGCGUAGAUAUCAGAUAGAACACCUAUGGCGAAGGCAGUCACUUGGUCCAUUACUGACGCUAAAGCACGAAAGCGUGGGUAGCAAACA